rnacentral:rRNA from 1 species
AUAUUAGGGUUGUUGUCAACGGGUAGUUUAGAAAAAAUUUUGUAAGUAGUGAUAAAUUAAUCGUUUGCUGUUAUAUCUGUUUUAAGGGAUUAAUUUUGAUUUACGGCUGGGGCGAGGAGGUCUCAGCCGUUUCUAUAGUUAGUUUUAAUAGAAUUUUAACUAGGGUUAGGGUUACCCCAGUUGAUUAUAAAUGUUACCAUUUUUUUUUUUAGUUGGGAAUUUAGGUUAGUUUCUCUUAUUUAUUAAAAUAUUUGUGUUUAUUUAUAGAUUAAUUAGUAAUUAAAUUAAUUAUAUUUUUUCUCAGAUUUGGUCCGACUGUUUAUUAAAAACAUUUCCACCCAUCUAUUUGUGGGUGGUAAGACCUGCCCAGUGAUUUUUAACGGCCGCAGUAUAUUAACUGUGCGAAGGUAGCAUAAUUAAUUGCCCCAUAAUUGGGGGCUUGUUUGAAGGGUUUAACGAGACUAAGGUUAAAAUUAUAGUUUUUAUUGAAUUUAAUUUGGCGAGUACAGAAUCUGUCAAAAUUAAUUAGACGGAAAGACCCCAGGAUCUUUCGUUUUUGUCUGGGGCAGAUAGUGAUUUUUUAUCAUUUUUAUGACCCUUAGUUUGAAGGUUUAAGUUACCCUGGGGAUAACAGGGUUAUAGUUUAUUAGAGAUCUUAUCGAGUAAAUUGAUUGCUACCUCGAUGUUGACUUGGGUUGAAUUAAUGGCGCAGUAGUUAUUAGUUUUGGUCUGUUCGACCAUAUACAUCCU